GUCUCACUGGCACAGUUGGCUAGCGCGUGGAGCUGUUAUCGACUCGAUUCGCAAUCACUCCGAGGUCGUUGGUUCGAACCCAACGUGGGACG